rnacentral:rRNA from 1 species
WAAACGACUCUCGGCAACGGAUAUCUCGGCUCUCGCAUCGAUGAAGAACGUAGCGAAAUGCGAUACUUGGUGUGAAUUGCAGAAUCCCGUGAACCAUCGAGUCUUUGAACGCAAGUUGCGCCCCAAGCCAUUAGGCUGAGGGCACGUCUGCCUGGGUGUCACGC